rnacentral:rRNA from 1 species
AACGAACGCUGGCGGCAUGCCUAAUACAUGCAAGUCGAACGAGAAAGCACUUCGGUGUGAGUAUAGUGGCGCACGGGUGAGUAACACGUAGGUGACCUGCCUUUUAGUGGGGAAUAACACGGAGAAAUUCGUGCUAAUACCGCAUAAGUAAAGCAAAUUUGAAAGUAGCUUUAGAAAGGGGGCUUCGGCUCUCGCUGAAAGAGGGGCCUGCGAGGCAUUAGCUUGAUGGUGGGGUAACGGCUUACCAUGGCGACGAUGUCUAGCAGAUUUGAGAGAAUGAUCUGCCCACACUGGAACUGAGACACGGUCCAG